rnacentral:rRNA from 1 species
UACGUAGGGGGCUAGCGUUGUCCGGAAUCAUUGGGCGGAAAGCGCGUGUAGGCGGUCCGGUAAGUCCGCUGUGAAAGUCGGGGGCUCAACCCUCGGAUGCCGGUGGAUACUGUCGGGCUUGAGUACGGAAGAGGAGAGUGGAAUUCCUGGUGUAGCGGUGAAAUGCGCAGAUAUCAGGAAGAACACCCGUGGCGAAGGCGGCUCUCUGGGACGGUACUGACGCUGAGACGCGAAAGCGUGGGGAGCGAACAGG